rnacentral:rRNA from 1 species
CCUACGGGGGGCAGCAGUAGGGAAUCUUUCACAAUGGGCGAAAGCCUGAUGGAGCAACGCCGCGUGCAGGAUGAAGGCCCUCGGGUUGUAAACUGCUUUUAUAAGCGAGAAAUAUGAUGGUAACUUAUGAAUAAGGAUCGGCUAACUACGUGCCAGCAGCCGCGGUCAUACGUAGGAUCCGAGCAUUAUCCGGAGUGACUGGGUGUAAAGAGUUGCGUAGGUGGCAUAAUAAGUAGCUAGUGAAAUCUGGUGGCUCAACCAUUCAGACUAUUAGCUAAACUGUUAAGCUCGAGACCGUUAGGGGUAACUGGAAUUUCUAGUGUAGGAGUGAAAUCCGUAGAUAUUAGAAGGAACACCAAUAGCGUAGGCAGGUUGCUGGGACGGUUCUGACACUAAGGCACGAAAGCGUAGGGAGCAAACGGGAUUAGAUACCCCAGUAGUC